rnacentral:misc_RNA from 1 species
GAUGAAGAACGUAGCGAAAUGCGAUAAGUAAUGUGAAUUGCAGAAUUCAGUGAAUCAUCGAGUCUUUGAACGCACAUUGCGCCCCCUGGUAUUCCGGGGGCAUGCCUGUCCGAGCGUCAUUGCUGCCCUCAAGCACGGCUUGUGUGUUGGGCUCCGCCCCCCUCCCGGGGGGCGGGCCCGAAAGGCAGCGGCGGCACCGCGUCCGGUCCUCGAGCGUAUGGGGCUUUGUCACCCGCUCUGUAGGCCCGGCCGGCGCCCGCCGGCGACCCCAAUCAAUCUUUCCAGGUUGACCUCGGAUCAGGUAGGGAUACCCGCUGAACUUAAGCAUAUCAAUAAGCGGAGGA